rnacentral:rRNA from 1 species
CGGACGGGUGAGUAACGCGUGAGGAACCUGCCUUUCAGAGAGGGACAACAGUUGGAAACGACUGCUAAUACCGGAUGUGAUCAUCUUGCCGCAUGGCAGGAUGAAGAAAGAUGGCCUCUACAAGUAAGCUAUCGCUAAAGGAUGGGCCUGCGUCUGAUUAGCUAGUUGGUAGUGUAACGGACUACCAAGGCGAUGAUCAGUAGCCGGUCUGAGAGGAUGAACGGCCACAUUGGAACUGAGACACGGUCCAAACUCC